rnacentral:rRNA from 1 species
GACGAACGCUGGCGGCGUGCUUAACACAUGCAAGUCGAACGAAGUGGCGAACGGGUGAGUAACGCGUAAUCAACCUGCACUUAAGAGGGGGACAACAGUUGGAAACGACUGCUAAUACCGCAUAUCGAAGGUGGGGAUUGCGUCUGAUUAGCUAGUUGGAGGGGUAACGGCCCACCAAGGCGACGAUCAGUAGCCGGUCUGAGGGGAUGAACGGCCCCAUUGGGACUGAGACACGGCCCAUACUCCUACGGGAGGCAGCAGUGGGGAAUCUGCCGCCAUGGACGAAAGUCUGACGGAGCAACGCCGCGGGAGUGAUGAAGGCCUUCGGGUUGUAAAGCUCUGUUAAGCGGGACGCGGUACCGGAAGAGAAAGCCACGGCUAACUACGUGCCAGCAGCCGCGGUAAUUC